GGGGUUGUGGCUCGGUGGUAGAGCAUUUGCCUGGCAUGCAUAAGGCACUGGGUUCUGAUCCCCAUCCCCC
rnacentral:tRNA from 1 species